rnacentral:rRNA from 1 species
CCAAUAGCGUAUAUUAAAGUUGUUGCAGUUAAAAAGCUCGUAGUUGAAUUUCGGGACCAGUAUGUUGGUCGUGCUUCGGUACGUACUGUCAUUACUGGUUUCUACCUUCUGAAGAACCUUGAUGUCAUUAAUUUGGUGUCUUGGGGAAUCAGGACUGUUACUUUGAAAAAAUUAGAGUGUUUAAAGCAAGCAUACGCUUGAAUACAUUAGCAUGGAAUAAUGAAAUAGGACGUUUGAUUCUAUUUUGUUGGUUUCUAGGAUCGACGUAAUGAUUAAUAGGGGUAGUUGGGGGCAUUAGUAUUCAAUUGUCAGAGGUGAAAUUCUUGGAUUUAUUGAAGACUAAUUACUGCGAAAGCAUUUGCCAAGGAUGUUUUCAUUAAUCAAGAACGAAAGUUAGGGGAUCGAAGACAAUCAGAUACCGUCGUAGUCUUAACCAUAAACUAUGCCAACUAGGGAUCGGAUGAUGUUAUUUUUAAUGACUCAUUCGGCGCCUUACA